CCCGACUGCUAUCGGAUUGAGAUUUAGCCAUGCGAAUCGAACGUUCCCCUGUUGCGGGGGGCGUGGCGUACGGCUCAGUAACACGUAGUCAACCUGCCCUGGAGACAUGAAUAACCCCGGGAAACUGGGAUUAAUACAUGAUAGGUCAUCUCAUCUGGAAGGAGAGAUGGCUUAAAGGGGUGUGCGAGCUUCUUUCGUAUACUUGCUCCAGGAUGGGACUGCGACUGAUCAGGCUGUUGGCGGGGUAAUGGCCCACCAAACCAGUAACCAGUACGGGCCUUGAGAGAGGGGGCCCGGAGAUGGACACUGAGAGAAGGGUCCAGGUCCUACGGGGCGCAGCAGGCGCGAAACCUUCGCAAUGCGCGAAAGCGUGACGAGGUUAAUCCGAGUGGUUCCCGCUGAGGGAAUCUUUUGUCGGCUGUAAAAAGGCCGGCGAAUAAGGGGAGGGCAAGUCUGGUGU
rnacentral:rRNA from 1 species